AUGGCUGCUGCUCCGGCGACGACAGCGGUGGUGGUGCCGCGGAUGAAGCUGGGCUCGCAGGGGCUGGAGGUGUCGGCGCUGGGGCUGGGAUGCGGGCCGCCCAAGCCCGAGCCCGACAUGGUCGCGCUCAUCCACCACGCCGUCGCCGCCGGCGUCACCCUCCUCGACACCUCCGACAUCUACGGCCCGCACACCAACGAGCUCCUCCUCGGGAAGGCGCUGCAGGGCGGGGUGAGGGACAAGGUGCAGCUGGCGACCAAGUUCGGUAUCCUCGCCGGCGCCGACGGCGCGCGGGCGAUCCGCGGCGACCCGGCGUACGUGCGCGCAGCGUGCGAGGGCAGCCUCGAGCGCCUCGGCGUCGGCUGCAUCGACCUCUACUACCAGCACGGCGUCGACGUCAGCGUGCCCAUCGAGGUCACGAUGGGUGAACUCAAGAAAUUGGUUGAAGAGGGGAAGAUAAAAUACAUUGGGCUGUCCGAAGCAUCGGCGUCGACCAUCUGAAGAGCGCACGCGGUUCAUCCCAUAACCGCCGUCCAGCUAGAGUGGUCGCUGUGGUCGAGAGACGUCGAGGAAGACAUAAUCCCUACUUGCAGGGAACUUGGCAUUGGAAUUGUGGCGUACAGCCCGUUGGGCAGAGGGUUCUUCUCUAGUGGGCCAAAGCUGGUCGACACGCUGUCUGAACAAGACUUCCGCAAGGACUUGCCAAGAUUUCAAGCUGAAAACCUUGAGAAGAACACCAUGGUAUUUGAGCGGGUUAGCACGAUGGCGGCGAGGAAGGGGUGCACAGCGUCGCAGCUCGCACUUGCCUGGGUUCACCACCAGGGGAACGAUGUGUGCCCCAUACCAGGAACCACAAAGGUCGACAACUUCAACCAGAAUGUGGCGGUGCUGUCCGUGAAGCUCACCCUAGAGGAGAUGGCCGAGCUUGAGUCCUAUGCGUUGGCGGAUGUUGCGGGCGAUCGCUGCCAUGACUUCAUGAACACUUGGAAGGAUUCCGAGACCCCUCCCAUUUCAUCCUGGAAGGCCGAGUGA
rnacentral:rRNA from 1 species